rnacentral:rRNA from 1 species
AACGAACGCUGGCGGCAGGCUUAACACAUGCAAGUCGAACGCCCCGCAAGGGGAGUGGCAGACGGGUGAGUAACGCGUGGGAACAUACCCUUUCCUGCGGAAUAGCUCCGGGAAACUGGAAUUAAUACCGCAUACGCCCUACGGGGGAAAGAUUUAUCGGGGAAGGAUUGGCCCGCGUUGGAUUAGCUAGUUGGUGGGGUAAAGGCCUACCAAGGCGACGAUCCAUAACUGGUCUGAGAGGAUGAUCAGCCACAUUGGGACUGAGACACGGCCCAACCUCCUACGGGAGGCAGCAGUGGGGAAUAUUGGACAGUGGGCGAAAGCCUGAUCCAGCCAUGCCGCGUGAGUGAUGAAGGCCUUAGGGUUGUAAAGCUCUUUCACCGAUGAAGAUAAUGACGGUAGUCGGAGAAGAAGCCCCGGCUAACUUCGUGCCAGCAGCCGCGGUAA